AGACGUCUACAUUAGAUACCCCGGUAGUCCCAGCCGUAAACGAUGUGCGUUAGGUGUAUCGGUGACCACGAGUCACCGAGGUGCCGAAGGGAAACCGUGAAACGUGCCGCCUGGGAAGUACGGUCGCAAGGCUGAAACUUAAAGGAAUUGGCGGGGAGCACCACAACGGGUGGAGCCUGCGGUUUAAUUGGACUCAACGCCGGGAAGCUCACCGGAUAAGACAGCGGAAUGAUUGCCGGGCUGAAGACUCUGCAUGACUAGCUG
rnacentral:rRNA from 1 species